rnacentral:ncRNA from 1 species
CCGCCCGUCGCUCCUACCGAUUGAAUGGUCCGGUGAAGUGUUCGGAUCGCGGCGACGGGGGCGGGUAGCCGCCCCCGACGUCGCGAGAAGUCCAUUGAACCUUAUCAUUUAGAGGAAGGAGAAGUCGUAACAAGGUUUCCGUAGGUGAACCUGCGGAAGGAUCAUUG